GGUGCGGUGGCCAAGUGGUAAGGCGUCGGUCUCGUAAACCGAAGAUCAUGGGUUCGAACCCCAUCCGUGCCU
rnacentral:tRNA from 1 species